GACGGAGGGGGCAAGCGUUGUUCGGAAUUAUUGGGCGUAAAGGGCGCGUAGGCGGAUCUGUGUGUCUGGCGUGAAAUCUCCACCACUUAACGGGGAGAGGUCGCUGGAAGCUGCAGAUCUGGAGUUUGUUAGAGGACCAUGGAAUUCCAGGUGUAGCGGUGGAAUGCGUAGAUAUCUGGAAGAACACCGGUGGCGAAGGCGGUGGUCUGGGACAAAACUGACGCUGAGGCGCGAAAGCCAGGGGAGCAAACGGG
rnacentral:rRNA from 1 species